rfam:Gossypium hirsutum cultivar TM-1 chromosome 20, whole genome shotgun sequence
UCAACUGCUUAAUUAAAACAAAACAUUGCGAUGGCCCCUACGGAUACUCACGCAAUGUGACUUCUGCCCAGUGCUCUGAAUGUCAAAGUGAUGAAAUUCAACCAAGCGCGGGUAAACAGCGGGAGUAAAUAUGACUCUCUUAAGGUAGCCAAAUGCCUCGUCAUCUAAUUAGUGACAUGCAUGAAUGGAUUAACGAG